AUGCGGUGGUUUCCUCUUUAUCUCUUCUCUAAUUCAACUCGUCCGUCGUGGAUGCACUCUCGUCUUUCUUCUCCGCUGCUCAUACCGAACAAAGCGCCAUUGAGACAUCUUCAUCGAAACAUCACCGUCGUAUCGUCGUUCAUUAUUUCGAUACCAUUUCUGUCCUCAUCUCAGAAAUUCUAUCUCAAUCUUCUUCACAAAACUCUAUCGCUUGCUUCCAUGAUUAACCUUCAUCUCAAUUUAGUUUUGCUUCUCUUAUCAGAUUUGAUCACACCUUCGCGAUCUUCGUCUUCUUGCGGAUUUUAUAUGAUGCAAUAUUAUUACUGCGAUGCUGAUGUUGAUGUAGAGAGAUAA